UGCGGAGGGAUCAUUACACAAAUAUGAAGGCGGGCUGGAACCUCUCGGGGUUACAGCCUUGCUGAAUUAUUCACCCUUGUCUUUUGCGUACUUCUUGUUUCCUUGGUGGGUUCGCCCACCACUAGGACAAACAUAAACCUUUUGUAAUUGCAAUCAGCGUCAGUAACAAAUUAAUAAUUACAACUUUCAACAACGGAUCUCUUGGUUCUGGCAUCGAUGAAGAACGCAGCGAAAUGCGAUAAGUAGUGUGAAUUGCAGAAUUCAGUGAAUCAUCGAAUCUUUGAACGCACAUUGCGCCCUUUGGUAUUCCAAAGGGCAUGCCUGUUCGAGCGUCAUUUGUACCCUCAAGCUUUGCUUGGUGUUGGGCGUCUUGUCUCUAGCUUUGCUGGAGACUCGCCUUAAAGUAAUUGGCAGCCGGCCUACUGGUUUCGGAGCGCAGCACAAGUCGCACUCUCUAUCAGCAAAGGUCUAGCAUCCAUUAAGCCUUUUUUUCAACUUUUGACCUCGGAUCAGGUAGGGAUACCCGCUGAACUUAAGCAUAUCAAU
rnacentral:rRNA from 1 species